CAGAGCUCUGUCUCCUGUGGGCACCAUCCCAUCAUGACCGGUUUCUCCUAAACCUGGUGAAUGACCAAAGACAUCUCAAAGGUUACUCUACACCCAGGAUAGAAAAUGAGUGCUGUGACAGAUGACCUGGCCCCUACAAUCCCCCCUCUAAAACCCUGUGGAGCUGGUUUGGGAAGAGCUGGAUCGAAGAGGCCUGACCUGGUUGUGGUUCCUGAAAGCCAAGUACCCGACGGACACAUCUUGACAUCUGUGCCUUGAGACAGUGUCAUCAUGGCUUUGAGGAUGUGCCGACAGAGCGGACUCUCUUGAAGGGAGGUGGGGGGACACCGGGUCGUCUAGUCGCUGGAGAUUCGGUGGGACACAUUUCGUGCAUCUCGGAGGGAAAGGGCAGCAGAGACUGAGAAGGAGAGGGAGGAGCAGUGAGACUAAAGCUGGAAUUAACAGCCGGAGCCAGGAAAAGACAACCUGCCUCUGACCUCUGGGCUUUUAUAUAAUCUGCGUCAUGUGUGUUAUAAAAGACCUGCAUCUUGUAUUCAUUUUUUUCAGUGAAAACAGUGCUAAUCCUUAACUGAGGGUAUUGAGCCUUGUUUGUAUUCCUGCCUAUGUACUGAACCAUAUGGCUGGACCCCAUGUACCGCUGACCAGGAGGUGUCUCUGUUUACCUACCAGUU